GAUGAACGCUGGCGGCGUGCCUAAUACAUGCCAGUCGAGCGAACAGACGAGGAGCUUGCUCCUCUGACGUUAGCGGCGGACGGGUGAGUAACACGUGGAUAACCUACCUAUAAGACUGGGAUAACUUCGGGAAACCGGAGCUAAUACCGGAUAAUAUAUUGAACCGCAUGGUUCAAUAGUGAAAGACGGUUUUGCUGUCACUUAUAGAUGGAUCCGCGCCGCAUUAGCUAGUUGGUAAGGUAACGGCUUACCAAGGCAACGAUGCGUAGCCGACCUGAGAGGGUGAUCGGCCACACUGGAACUGAGACACGGUCCAGACUCCUACGGGAGACAGCAGUAGGGAAUCUUCCGCAAUGGGCGAAAGCUUGACGGAGCAACGCCGCGUGAGUGAUGAAGGUCUUCGGAUCGUAAAACUCUGUUAUUAGGGAAGAACAAAUGUGUAAGUAACUAUGCACGUCUUGACGGUACCUAAUCAGAAAGCCACGGCUAACUACGUG
rnacentral:rRNA from 1 species